UACGUAGGGUGCAAGCGUUGUCCGGAAUUAUUGGGCGUAAAGAGCUCGUAGGCGGUUUGUCGCGUCUGCUGUGAAAACCUAGGGCUUAACCCUGGGCCUGCAGUGGGUACGGGCAGACUAGAGUGUGGUAGGGGAGACUGGAAUUCCUGGUGUAGCGGUGAAAUGCGCAGAUAUCAGGAGGAACACCGAUGGCGAAGGCAGGUCUCUGGGCCACUACUGACGCUGAGAAGCGAAAGCAUGGGGAGCGAACAGG
rnacentral:rRNA from 1 species